AUCUACAACUAUAUAUAAUAUUUUUAUUUUUUUUGAAACUCUGAAUAAUAUAUUGUUUAUAUAAAAAAAUAUAAUAGUAUAUAAUAACCUUUAGUUUAUAUAAUAUUUUAAAAAUAUGUUAUUAUAAAACUAUGAAAUUUUAGUAAUCCAUUUAAAAUAUUAAUGACAAAUUAAAUUUUAAUUAUAAAAAUAACUUUUUGAAAUGCACCAUGAAAAAACAAACGAUAUAUGUUGUAAACAUUAAAGCAAUCUAAUGAUUUGAAAUCUUUAUUAAAAAUAAAAAUAAAACUUAAUAUCUUAAAAUCAUGAUUUAAAAUAUAUGUUAAUAUCAUAACAUGCGGAAUAAGAAAUAUAAACAAUAAUAUUACAGACUUUCACAAUAUGUAAUACUAAAAUGGAAAUUAUAUAUUUAAAACAUUUGUAAUAAUAUCAAAUACAUUUAUAAAAUGAAAAAAUAUUUGCACGUAUGUGCGGGUUAAAAUUUAGUAUAAAUUUUUUUUUUGUCUGGUUAAUUAUGCUAUUACAAAUUAUGAGAAAUAUUACAUAGACGAUAUUACAGCCGACAAUUCUACAUGUCUUAUGAAGAUUCAUGCCUGACUGCAUCACCCUGAGUAGCCCUAUGAGAUCCAUUCCUGACGGUACUCCUUGCGCCAUGCUGAAGAUCUCCUGUAAGCUUUUUCUCUAAUUUUCUGCAUAAUUCACCUUCUCCGGGAAUUGAAACCCAAACUUCUUCCUGUAGAAAUUGCGUUAUUUGGGAUUCGAACCCCAGACCUGGGUGUAGAAGUCUUUAAACCUUGACCACUAGACCACGGUGUUUCCACAGUAUAAAUUAUUUAGGAGGGUUAAUUUAGUUUUCAUUUUCUAUCAACAACUUAAAGUAUUUAUGAAAAUGAUUAUCAUUGAAGGGUAAAUUUGAAAAGUGGUAUCAAAUUUAUGGUAAAAUUGAAAUUUUUCCUUUCAUUUUAGGGAAAUUUGCUAAUAAAGAACAAAAAAACUUAUUCAUUGUCCCUUUAGAAUAGUAUCAGGGAUUCUUGUCCACUUAGAACUAAUACUAAGGUAAACCCAAUUUUAACCCUCUAAUUAUACAAUUUUUAAAAAAAAUAAACGAAAAACUAAUUUUCAUAGUCCCAUUUACUCAUUAUUUACCGAUUUCAAAAACAUGGUUUACCCGUCGCAGAGUUUUCAUGUAUUCUCGCCGGCGUAUCUUCGUCCGUCACCUCCACCUCUCUCUCUUAAUGACCCACCCGGAAUUCUAUGAUAAAUCCUCUCUCUGGCAUCUCUUGAAUAUCUAGUUUCUUCUUUUGUAAGUUUAGAGGUGAUGAGAAUUCGGAUGACUCUACCAUGGUCCCCAGGAAGAAUAAUGCUAGGAUAUCCUUUGGUACAACCUACAACCUACAACUCUUCAAAGAUCUCUUUGAACAUGGUGGAAUUGAAAGUUUUCUCUAGAAACAAGAGGUUCUUUCAACAUUCUUCUUCUGUAAGACUAGUAUCGCUAAUGUGAUAUGUGGUUCUUACGCCACUUUGUGUCUGUUAUUUUUCAAUUCAGGGAAAAAUCUAAGAAAACACAAUGCAACAGCCGACCAGCCGAAAUCAAUGCUACAUUUGGAGAUUCGUUCACGAUUUGUGGCAGUAGAACCAAGCCAAUUAUUUUUUUCUCAUCACAGCCGACAUUAAACCGACGCAAUAUUGUAGCAGACCAUGCCGUUGUGCUGAUUUUGUUUGCUCACAUUAGGUCUUGAUGUUAUCAUUGACCUCUCUUUUAUGUGACUAGUUUCUAUUGUUUACAAGUAUGGAAAUUUGUUUUGUGGCUCUACUCUUUCUGUCGAGACGUGUUUCGUUUGGGUACUUUACGGUUUGUUAUAGUUGAGACAACAUUUAUGGAUUUGAAAAAAAAGGAAAUUAAACUCAGUUUUAUAUUUAUAAAUUUUGAGAAAAAAAGAAAACUCAGUUUGAAAAGUCAUGAGGUGAGCAAUCUGUUGGGAGUUGGGACCUUGUCAUCAAACUCAUCACUGGAGUCAAGAACUAUUCGCCUUGUUGGAUUUCUUCUUCCCUUUGUUGGCAUACGAUAGUUAAACGCAUAUUCCUUCUCUUUAGCUUCUCAAGCUUUUUAUCACUACCUUAAACAUCAUUGACAAUACAAAGUGAAGAAAAUGUUGGUGAAGAAGAAGAAGUUUGUUAAUUUAUGGCAAAAAAAAAAUAAAAAAAAGGAAAUAAACAAGAUUUAAAAGAUUUUGGGAAUAUUUUAUAACUGUUUUUAGCUAGAUUUUCGGAUUUUGUUUACAAAUCUAGUAGAACUUACAUUCUACCAAAGUUAGACUAGAGAUGAAGUGGUAGAUGUGUAAAACUGAGAUCGUAGAGAAAGAAAAAGUGUGAAGAAAGUAUGUUCUGCCGAGGCAGAUAUGAUAACUUUUAUAUGCCUUAUAAUCUACCAAAUAUACAGAACAUAGAAUAAAAUGUAGAUUUGUUAUUCUGUCUUAGUAGGUCGAAAUGUUUUCGGUGUAUUGUGCAUUCUACCUUGGGUAGAUCAUUUUGUCUUAGGUAGACUGCAUAUUCUAAGUCGUUGUAGAUGGUAGAUUUGAUAUACUAACACAUUUAACCCAUUUUUAAAUUUAUUAUUCCAAAUAUUUUUUGAAUCCAAAAAUAUUUUUUAUAUAUGCACAUUCUUGACUACUUCAUGUUUUAUAUUUUUCUUAAUUUUUUGCAUUGUAAAUAUAUUGAUAUGAAUUUUUAUUUAUAAGAAGGGUAGUGAAAGUCCAAAAGUGACAAAAUUUGAUUUUGUGCUAAGGAGACAAUAGUUUAGUUUACUUGUUCCUUUUUUCCCCAAUAUUCCCUUCAUUUUAUAGAUGAUUAGAAUUUACCUCUAAGUAACGAGAUAAUACAGGCAUGACCACACGUCCGGUCGGAGGUACACUGUGGCUAGGUGUGUGGCCUUCUGGAUCUCCUAAUGAAAUCUCCUUCUAAUAGUAUUAUCUAUUUUCUUUUCAAAAAAGUCUCACCUUUUUUAAAGGGAUGAUUUUACAUCUAUAAAGAAAGUGAUGAUAUGCGUUUAAUUUAGGUGGUGUUAUGUGGGGGUGGCAAGUUCACCA